AAAAUAAGAAAUCACGUUUUUGGCGGAAAAAUGUGAAAUCAUUUUUUGGCGGGAAAAUCACGAAUUCACAUUUUGGCGGGAAAAAUACGGAAUCACGGUUUUGGUGGGAAAAAUAGGAAAUCACGUUUUUGGCGGGAAAAAUCACGAAUUAACAUUUUGGCGGGAAAAUGCAGAAUAACGAUUUUGGCGGGAAAAUACGUAAUCAUAUUUUUGGCGGGAAAAUGCUAAAUCUCGUUCUUGGGAGAAAAAAUUAUGGAAUUGCGUUUUUGGCGGGAAAAUGUUGAAUCACGUUUUGGCGGAAAAAUUUAUUUCAUGGUUUUAAUAGUUAAAUCAUGUUUACUUUGGUUUACUAAAAUCGGUUUACACAUUUGAUUUGGUUAUAUUUGGUUUACACAUUUGAUUUAGAAUGUUUAAUCUUUAUUGGUUUGGUUAUGAGUAAUCCAUUAAUCCAUUCUAACAUAAACCAUUUCAAUCCAAUUCAUUAAACUCACUAAUCCAUUAAAUCCAUUAAUCCAUUAAGAUCCAAAUUUCUCAUUCAUUAUAUCCAUGGAUUGGAUUGGUUUG
rnacentral:lncRNA from 1 species